CACGUUCUGCUUGAGCAACAGAAACUGGCAGGUCUGGUGUGUAGGUGUCUCUCCUGCAGGAAACCAGAGGUGUCGCAGAUGCUCGCAGUAAGGAGCGUGGAGGUCCCUAUUGGUGUGUGUGUGUAGUGAUAAGGGAUAACAUACAAAAUUUGCAGCCUAAGUGUGCAGUCUCAAAAGCUUGGAGCGUGCCUAACUCAAAUUUUGAGACCAGCAAAAGCUUACCUUGGAGUAAAAGGUUGCUUUCCUCUGACUCCUCAGUUCCUGUUUGCAAGUGACCUAGCAACAAGUCCAGUGUAUUUUUCACUCCUCCAUUGAUAUGCAAGUGUGCACACUUUGCUAUUUCACUUGGAACUCGUUUUAUUCGCAAGAGAACACUCUGCACCGAAAAACGAAAAAAUUGGGGGUCACCUCAGUGCUCCUUUAAAGGAGUUACCUUUAAAGGCUUUUGAAGGCGUGAAAGGACACCUACUACAAAGCCUUCUUGUUGGUCACAGUUGCGACCUUAUGCUAUUUGAUCCUUGGCCAACGGAAAUUCUGCAGAAGUUUGGCUGUGUACUUGAGCACCGAAGAAAGUGCAGUGGUAGUUACCAACACCAAAACCACUAGUGGUGCAAUACACUCCUCUCAAGUGUGCACGGUGCAGGAUGGCACAACACAUGUGCAAUAAGAAAGACUGGAGGUGCAAUCCAGGAGGAAGAGGUGCACACGAGGGUCCAAGAGAGAUGUCAGUGUUACUUACGAGUUAUUUGAAGGACCCAAAUGUACUUUAAGGUAUCGGAACCGCUGACAAAUAUUUAGGGAGCCAAUGAAAUCCAUGCCAUUUAGCCACACACUGCUCAGUAGAAGGUGUGUCAAUGACCAAAUGUGACGUGUUUCAGAUAGUGGGAGAAGGAAGAAAAAGUUGUCCAGCAAAUGAACUACAUACACUGCUGAGGCAGCAUUGGUCUGAGUAUUCGUAAAUUGUCAGUGAAGCUCUGUGUGUCAUGACAUUUAUUUGCGCAAAAAAAUUGAGAAUCCGCAGUGUCUGGAGUCUUCUCUUUCCAACGAGAGUUUUCAUGCCGCUUGAAGGAUGUUUAACAGAAUAAAACACAGUAAGACAUGCAAAACUGCAAAGUUUUUGAGAAAGACAAGAAUGUAAUGAACAAUGUGCAGGAAAAAGUAACACAGGUAAUAUAUCUUUUUUUUUUUAGUGUGUUAGUACAAGUGAGUAUAGAAAGAACAGAACAAAAGUAGUACAAAAAGGAAGUACAGAGUAUCAGAACUACGUAAAAUAUUAGUAGGAAACAUGGUUUAACAGAACUAAACAGAACUCAAAGCACUCAAUCGAUACAUUCAAAACACAUGAUACAGAAAAUGAACACUUCUAUGUUGGCAGUUUUCCUGGUACACACAGCCAUAAAGAAGCACUCUAUUACCUCACUGGACAAUGCCUACAAAUAAUCCAACAGAAAAGAGUUCUGCAUAAAAAACUAUACACUACAGGCUAUAAGGCACUUCCAGGAGGAACACCAGGACUAUACACACAAAUCUGUAUCUGACACAUAUCCCUGCAUGCUUACAUGAAUAGUGAUAUUACUAUAGCAUAUGGACGUUCCUUGUAGUGCCUACCUUUGUUGUGACACACUUCAUGGUUGAAAUGUAUUUAGUGUGUAUUAUUGCUAGCGUUCCCAGCCUGUGAUUAUAACGCGUGAGGAUAUAUUUUAUAUCUGCGCAAUAAAUUAUUAAAAUGUAUUAUCCGCUAAAAAUGUA